AUUUAAAAUUGAUUUAAAUUUUUUAGUUAAAUUUAAAAUUUAAAUAAAAAAUUAGAAAUUAAAAAUUUUUAGUAUUAAUUGGAAAAAAAAGUUAUUAUUAUUUAAUUGUAAAAGUAAUUUAAAAUAAAAAAAAGAAGAUUUUGUUUAUUGUACCUUUUGUAUCAGGGAUUAUUAAAAUUAAAUGUUUAUAUAAAUGUAUCUCGAAUUAAAAAGAGCUAAUUUAAAAUAAUAGUUAAUGUAGAAUAAUUAUUAUAAAUUUUAAAUUUGAAAUGAAAUGUUAAACGAUUUUUAAGAUAUCUAGUUUUUUAAUAAAAAAAUUUAAUUUUUUUAUAAAUUUAAUUAAUAAUAAUUUAAAAUUAUUAAUUGUUUUAUAGAGAAGAAUUUAUGGGAUUAUCUAUAAAUUUAAAUUAAAUGGUGUAUUUAUAAUUUAAAAUUUAGAAAUUAAAAUUUUUAAAAUUUAAAAGUUUUUAAUAAUUUAUUAUUUAGAAUUAAUUUGAUUUUUAAAGUUAUUAAUUAAUUAUUAAAAUAAAUUUAUAAAUUUUUUAUAAAUUAAAAUAAUGAUAAUAUUAGUAUAAAUAAAUUGUUAAAUUAAUUGUUUUAUUAAAUUAAUUUAAGGAAUUAAGCAAAUUUUAAAAUUCACUUGUUUAUCAAAAACAUGUUUUUUUGAAAUUAAUAAAAAAUUUUCUCUGCCCAAUGAUAAAUUAAAUGGCCGCAGUAUUUUGACUGUGCAAAGGUAGCAUAAUAAAUAGUUUUUUAAUUGAAGGCUAGAAUGAAUGAGAGGAUGAAAUUUUAACUGUCUCAAUUUAAUUAUAAAAUUUUAUUUUAAGUUAAAAUUCUUAAAUAAAUUUAAGGGACGAGAAGACCCUAUAGAAUUUAAAAAUUAAAUUUAAUUUUAGAUUUAAUAUUAGAUUAAAAUUAUUUUAAAAUUUUUUUAUUGGGAUGAUAUUUAAAUUUAAUAAACUUAAAAUUAUUAAAUUCAAUGAUUAAUGAAUUUAAGAGUAGAUUUAAUAAAUAAAAGAUAAAAUUACCUUAGGGAUAACAGCGUAAUAAAUUUUUAAAGUUCAAAUUAAAAAAUUUGAUUGCGACCUCGAUGUUGAAUUAAAAUAAAAUUUAAGUGAAGAAGC
rnacentral:rRNA from 1 species